AACGAUAAAGGCAAACUCGUGGAAACGCGGGGACGCAAAGCUAGAGGGCCUUCGCAAGAUGGCAGCCAGCUACCGAAA
rfam:Tepidanaerobacter syntrophicus DNA, contig Tsynt_8, strain: JL.